rnacentral:rRNA from 1 species
AGCGAACGCUGGCGGCAGGCCUAACACAUGCAAGUCGAACGAUGAACUUGGAGCUUGCUCUGGGGGAUUAGUGGCGAACGGGUGAGUAACACGUGAGUAACCUGCCCUGGACUCUGGGAUAACUUCGAGAAAUCGGAGCUAAUACCGGAUAGGACCUUGCACCGCAUGGUGUGGGGUGGAAAGUUUUUCGGUUUGGGAUGGACUCGCGGCCUAUCAGCUUGUUGGUGAGGUAAUGGCUCACCAAGGCGUCGACGGGUAGCCGGCCUGAGAGGGUGACCGGCCACACUGGGACUGAGCCACGGCCCAGACUCCUACGGGAGGCAGCAGUGGGAAAUAUUGCACAAUGGGCGCAAGCCUGAUGCAGCGACGCCGCGUGCGGGAUGACGGCCUUCGGGUUGUAAACCGCUUUUAGUAGGGAAGAAGCCUUCGGGUGACGGUACCUGCAGAAAAAGGACCGGCUAACUACGUGCCAGCAGCCGCAGUAAGAC